rnacentral:rRNA from 1 species
UACGAAGGGGGCGAGCGUUGUCCGGAAUUAUUGGGCGUAAAGAGCUCGUAGGCGGCCUGUUGCGUCCGCUGUGAAAGCCCGGGGCUUAACCCCGGGUCGGCAGUGGAUACGGGCAGGCUAGAGGUAGGUAGGGGAGAAUGGAAUUCCCGGUGUAGCGGUGAAAUGCGCAGAUAUCGGGAGGAACACCGGUGGCGAAGGCGGUUCUCUGGGCCUUACCUGACGCUGAUGCGCGAAAGCUAGGGGAGCAAACAGG